CGGAUAUUGGGGGGGACUUGGGGGGCUUAAGCCCCCCCAGAACGUAGUCAAGCCCCCUCGGAAGGUUCUAGUAUCUCUACUUCAAUUACAACAAACAAUAUUGAUACAAUUAUAAAAAAUAAUCAAAAUAUAAAAAAAAAAAUAUUGUUUUGUAAGAAUUUAUUUUCAACUGUUCCCCUUAAUUACCGCUGAUAAGACCGUUAUAUUAUCCUAUCCUAGGAAUGUGUUUAACACUUUAGAAUCCCUAUACAUACAUUUUUCACAUCCGUCAAAAAAUCAACAUUUAAUUGAGAUUCAAACCAAUCUGGGGAUAAAACAUAGGUCAGUGAUUAGACUCAGUGACACUAGAUGGAACUGCCGCUAUAGAAAUAUAGAGUGUGUUAAAGCAAGUUAUAAAGCAAUUAUUCAAGCUUUAGAAGAAGAAAUCGAAAAUGAAGAUGAUAGAGGAGUAAAUGAAGCAAUUGGAAUAUUAGCAAAUUUAAAAAGUGGACCAUUUAUAGUUUAUUUAUUUAUCUUACAUAAAGUAUUAAUUCAUAUUAAUAUCGUUACCAACAAAUUUCAAGAAAAAACUGCAACCUUAGGUCAAUCUAAAAAUAUUAUUUAAGGUGUGAUGAUGAUUUUUUAAAUUUUAAGAGCAACAGAAUAUUUUUCUCAGCUUUGGUGUGAAAUAGAAACCUUUGCUAAAGAUCAUGACAUAUCAAUACAAACACCGUCUAAAGGAUGUAAAAGAAAAAGACAAGAGCCAACAAUUUUUAAAAAUUUUGAUGUCACUGCAACCACAAGUGCUGAACAUAGUAUCAAUAAAACUAAUGAAACCACUGAAGGUUAUUUAAAAAAAAAAUGCUUUCUUUCCU